GGGGAUGUAGCUCAAUGGUAGAGUGCUUGCCUAGUAUACGCCUUGCCAUGGUUCUUUGCAGAGCUAGUGAUUGAGUGCUUUCUUAGCAUGCAUGAGGCCCUGGGUUCAAUCCCCAGCACCACAA
rnacentral:tRNA from 1 species